GCCCUAGUAGCUUAACCCCUAAAGCGUUGGUCUUGUAAACCAAAGCUGGGAACUAGACCACCCCUAAGGCA
rnacentral:tRNA from 1 species